GCGCGCGCUCACUGGGUGGGCGCGGCUGCAGAGAAUAUGGUUCGCUACUUAAUAUGGUGGAACAGCUAAGGCUGGAAACGGCAGGGAU
rnacentral:SRP_RNA from 13 species